rnacentral:rRNA from 1 species
UAGAACGUCGUGAGACAGUUCGGUCCCUAUCUGCCGUGGACGUUUGAGAUUUGAGAGGGGCUGCUCCUAGUACGAGAGGACCGGAGUGGACGAACCUCUGGUGUUCCGGUUGUCACGCCAGUGGCAUUGCCGGGUAGCUAUGUUCGGAAAAGAUAACCGCUGAAAGCAUCUAAGCGGGAAACUUGCCUCAAGAUGAGAUCUCACUGGGAACUUGAUUCCCCUGAAGGGCCGUCGAAGACUACGACGUUGAUAGGCUGGGUGUGUAAGCGUUGUGAGGCGUUGAGCUAACCAGUACUAAUUGCCCGUGAGGCUUGACCAU